UUCAUAUAGGUGAUCCAGUUGAAAUUCAGUUGGACAGCUCUGUGGAUCUCUCAGAUGACUUGGAGGCUACAAAUGCAAGUGCAUGCUUGUCUCACGAUGAGUGGCCUUUUUGCAACUAUGAAGAGGACAAAGCCUUUAAUCAAAAGAGGAUGGCAACUAUCACUUCUGCACGGCUCAGGAAGCAACACUUAACGGUGGAAAGAAGUGAGAACCGAAUUCUUGAGAGGUACACAGCCCCAGUUCCCUUCUGCUAGUUUGAUGGAAGAGAGAGAGAGGAAACAGUGGAGAAAGGCAUUCUUGGGACUACUGCCUGACCUGGGCCUAGUGUGUGCUGCCCUUCAUGGCACUAAUGCAACCUUACUGCUUCCUAAAAAAACCUGAUUUCUAUUGGAUUUAUGGCUAUCACACAGAUUGGAUUGUUGGUACUGUAGAAAUAGCAGUUGUCAAAAAGCUCAUUUUUGCAGUUUAUUUUUCUGAUUAAGGAGUUUUUAAUGCAGUUUGACCUUUAUUCUGAGUCAACUGCUUUUUAUUUAUUGUGGGUCAAUUGGGAAAGCUUCAUAAGCAAGGAUGCUGGAGGCGAUGCUGAGCACUUAACAGUAAGAACUGGCACAAAGCCCAAUUUCAUCCAGAAUAAAAGCAAAUGGCAAUGUUAUUGAAUACUCAGUGUCUCAUUUUAGUGUGUAUGUGUGCUCAGCUUUGAUUCUUGGGGAUUACUCAGUUGAUCGAAAAUUCAGAUCCUUAUUCGUGUUUUAGUCAGAGUGUGUGCAAACUUCUUCUCCUAGAAAUACCACAAUCAAAGCAGAAACAUAUUUGUGCAGCACUGUGAAUUGCUUUUUCACAGUUGACUUUGUUUUGUCUAUGGGUAAGAAAUUCAGUUUUCAGUGCUAGAAAGCAAUAUUUUUAACAUAGUACAGUUCUUUAAGCUGUAAAUGAAAAUCCUUGGCUUUCCUUUUCCAUGGGAAAAUUGAGUAUUACUUUUUUUUUUCUUGAAUAUUGUCAUUUGAGAAAAAAAUUAAUGGAAAAAAAUGAAAAUAUCAAUUUUUAUUUUAGUGGGAUAAAAUUGUUUAUUUGAAUGUCAGACACAGAACAGGGGUGCUUUUGUACAGAGAAAAAUGUGUGAGAAUUGUCUUGUAUAUUUUAUUUAAUUUAUUCUGCCUGCAGGUACUAAUUUCAUUCAUUUUCAUUGGUUUAAAGAAUGUGUUUGAGCUAAAAUAUUAUUCUCAAAGGCAUCAGCAAGCAAUAUAAUAAGACUGCUCCUGUAGUUCAGAGUGAGGAGAUAAAAGAAAAAGAAACUGUUAUUCCUAAGGAGAAUUAAAAAGGAGGGAAAGAAAGCCCUUUUUAAUAAUGGUUCAUUUUCUUCCUUUUUAGUAUGAAGUGAUAAAAGGAAAUAAAUUCAUGUUCCAAGCC
rnacentral:lncRNA from 7 species